GGGGAGUAGAGCGGCGGACGGGUGAGUAACACGUGGAUAACCUAUCCGGGAGUGGGGGAUAACCCUGGGAAACUGGGGCUAAUACCGCAUAACACGGGGAGGGCUUCGGCCUUUUCCGUCAAAGGUGGCCUCUGCGUGCAUGCUACCGCUUCCGGGGGGGUCCGCGGCCCAUCAGCUUGUUGGUAGGGUAAUGGCCUACCAAGGCGACGACGGGUAGCCGGCCUGAGAGGGUGGACGGCCACACUGGGACUGAGACACGGCCCAGACUCCUACGGGAGGCAGCAGUGGGGAAUCUUGCGCAAUGGGCGAAAGCCUGACGCAGCGACGCCGCGUGGAGGAAGAAGGCCUACGGGUCGUAAACUCCUGUCAGCGGGGACGAAGGCCUCAUGGGUGAACAAUUCAUGGGGUUUGACUGUACCCGCAGAGGAAGCCCCGGCUAACUACGUGCCAGCAGCCGCGGU
rnacentral:rRNA from 1 species